UAGGUGGUCUCUUAAAGAUAGUAUUUUUCUUGGCUCAUCUUUGGGGUGGCUCUGAGUAUCUAUGUAACAAUUUUCUUGAGGAUCUUGGCUCAGAUCGAUAUUACUAAUAUUUUGAGUCUCCAAGAAUUCUUUUGUCAUUGCCUUUUAGACAUCUGAAGCUUCCAAUUUGAGUAUUUGAGCACGAUGGCUUCGAGGGUCCCUUAGGUUAGCCCU
rnacentral:lncRNA from 1 species